rnacentral:tRNA from 1 species
UCUAAAAUAGUCUAAUUAAAGAUAUAAAAUUUAGAAUUUUAAGAUGUCUCUCUUUUAGAA